GGGCCCGUAGCUCAGUCUGGAUAGAGCAGGAGUUUCCUAAACUCAAGGUCGCAGGUUCGAGUCCUGCCGGGCCUACCA
rnacentral:tRNA from 1 species